AGAAGCAAGGGGGUGAAAACCCUAGCUUUACAAAAUCCUCAAGAAUCAAUAGAAAUCUUAAGGAAAUCGAAAGUAUACUCAGCAAAUUCUAAGCUCCUACACCUGUUCUUCGAAGUGGCGUGAAGGAAGAAGGUACAAGCACUAAGAAAACGGAAGACACGCAUGAUCGAGGUAAAUCCUCAAGUUAGGCGACUUGGCAAUUUGGAGCGAGCAUAUGCACACUUGAUGGUUAUCAAGCGCUUCCGCUAUUAUGUAUUAAUGUUUUGGGUCAAAUGCUUGUUUUUGUAUAACAUUGUUAGUAGUUACACUUGUUAGUACUUGGUGUAUGGUUUUUAGUAGUGUCUAGUCGAACGGGUCGUAAACUUGUUUGUUUGUUGAUGGUUAAUACAGGGAUAGACCCGUCCUACGGACGGGUCAUGCCCAAAUUUUGUUAAAAUCAUGUGUUAAUGGUAUUAGCGUUUUUACCCUU